rnacentral:rRNA from 1 species
GAUGAACGCUGGCGGCGUGCCUAAUACAUGCAAGUCGAGCGAAGCGGGGACGGUUGAGUCACACGUUGAUCACCUCCUAUACGACUGGGAUAACUUCGGGAAACCGUAGCUAAACCGGCUACUUAUAGAUGGCUCCGCGCUGCAUUCGCUAGUUGGUAAGGUAACGGCUUACCAAGGCAACGAUGCAUAGCCGACCUGAGAGCGGGAUCGGAAAAAAGGGAACUGAGACACGGUCCAGACUACUACGGGAGGCAGCAGUAGGGAAUAUGCCGCAAUGGGCGAAAGCCUGACGGAGCAACGCCGCGUGAGUGAUGAAGGUCUUCGGAUCGUAAAACUCUGUUAUUAGGGAAGCGGUACCUAAUCAGAAAGCCACGGCUAACUACGUGCCAGCAGCCGCGGUAAUUC